rnacentral:rRNA from 1 species
CCCACCGGUGGGGAUGCGUUAGAUACGGCGAGUGAGCGGCAAAAGCUCAAAUUUGAAAUCUGGUACCUUCGGUGCCCGAGUUGUAAUUUGGAGAGGGCAACUUUGGGGCCGUUCCUUGUCUAUGUUCCUUGGAACAGGACGUCAUAGAGGGUGAGAAUCCCGUGUGGCGAGGAGUGCGGUUCUUUGUAAAGUGCCUUCGAAGAGUCGAGUUGUUUGGGAAUGCAGCUCUAAGUGGGUGGUAAAUUCCAUCUAAAGCUAAAUAUUGGCGAGAGACCGAUAGCGAACAAGUACAGUGAUGGAAAGAUGAAAAGAACUUUGAAAAGAGAGUGAAAAAGUACGUGAAAUUGUUGAAAGGGAAGGGCAUUUGAUCAGACAUGGUGUUUUGUGCCCUCUGCUCCUUGUGGGUAGGGGAAUCUCGCAUUUCACUGGGCCAGCAUCAGUUUUGGUGGCAGGAUAAAUCCAUAGGAAUGUAGCUUGCCUCGGUAAGUAUUAUAGCCUGUGGGAAUACUGCCAGCUGGGACUGAGGACUGCGACGUAAGUCAAGGAUGCUGGCAUAAUGGUUAUAUGCCGCCCGUCUUGAACCACGGGACCA